GACCUGGCUCAGGACGAACGCUGGCGGCGUGCCUAAUACAUGCAAGUAGAACGCUGAAGAGAGGAGCUUGCUCUUCUUGGAUGAGUUGCGAACGGGUGAGUAACGCGUAGGUAACCUGCCUUGUAGCGGGGGAUAACUAUUGGAAACGAUAGCUAAUACCGCAUAACAAUGGGUGACUCAUGUCAUUUAUUUGAAAGGGGCAAAUGCUCCACUACAAGAUGGACCUGCGUUGUAUUAG
rnacentral:rRNA from 1 species